rnacentral:rRNA from 1 species
GACGAACGCUGGCGGCGUGCUUAACACAUGCAAGUCGAACGGAAAGGCCCCUUUGGGGGUACUCGAGUGGCGAACGGGGGAGUAAGACGUAAGUAACCAGCCCUUGACUUCGGGAUAACUUCAGGAAACGGGGGCUAAUACCGGAUAGGAAUCAUUGCUGCAUGGGGGGGGUUGGAAAGCUUCGGCCGUUUUGGAUGGACUCGCGGCUUAUAAGCUUGUUGGUGGGGCAGUGGCUUACCAAGGCUUUGUCGGGUAGCCGGCCUGUGAGGGCGACCGGCCACAUUGGGCCUGAGAUGCGGCCCAGACUCCUACGGGCGGCAGCAGUGGGGAAUCUUGCACAAUGGGCGGCAGCCUGAUGCAGCAACGCCGCGUGCGGGAUGACGGCCUUCGGGUUGUAAACCGCUUUCAGCAGGGGCGAAGCUUGUGGUGACGGUACCUGCAGAAGAAGCACCGGCUAACUACGUG